ensembl:lncRNA
CGUAUGUUUGCCUCUUCCCCACCAUGAUCUCCGUUUGGUUUCCCCUUGCCUUAUAACUAUUUAAAUACAUUUUACUAACCUUGGAUUCCUUGCUCAUUUCACUUCACCUUGCUAGGCAGGUCUGCGAGGAUUCAAGGGUUAGUUCCUCCACUUUUAUUAUUUUUCAGUCAUCGUUUUAUUAAAAUAACCAUGUUCAGAAGAAGAGUCCGACACACAUAAGUAAUGGGAACUGCUAAUAAUAAGCAGGCUGCUUUAAAAUGUGCUGGGGCUUUGACUUAAGGGAAGAAAGCACAGCCCUGCAUGUCCCUGUCAGGAAGCUGGAGCACAGAAGAGCUGUGGAAAAGGUCCACAAGAUUGUUAAUCCCUCCAAGACCAGAAACAAAGUCAACUAACCCUAUGAGCCAUGCUGGGAGAAAAUUCCACUCAUCUGUAUCAGUCUUUCUUUAGUCCAGCUGAGUUACACACAGGGAAAAUUGCUGGCAGAGGCAAAUUCUGCAAGUGGUUUUAGCUGAAGGCCUGUCUGCAGCUGGGGUGCCAGGUCACACAGAGCUUUGACUGCUCUGAGCAGGAGGCUGAGUUCAUUGCUUUUAGAGGUAACUGCAUUGCUUGAGGUUGUGUUGCAUUUUGGGAUCAGCUGUCUGUGAGCCAGCUGACAGGUGUGUAGGGAAAGGACCACAGUGGAAGCUGCAUGUGUUCACUCGGAGGGGAACUUUACCCUUGAGAUAAGGUUGUUC